UUCCUACGGGGGGUAGCAGUGAGGAAUAUUGGUCAAUGGGCGCGAGCCUGAACCAGCCAAGUCGCGUGAGGGAAGACGGUCCUAUGGAUUGUAAACCUCUUUUGUCGGGGAGCAAAAGACGCCACGUGUGGCGUUCCGAGAGUACCCGAAGAAAAAGCAUCGGCUAACUCCGUGCCAGCAGCCGCGGUAAUACGGAGGAUGCGAGCGUUAUCCGGAUUUAUUGGGUUUAAAGGGUGCGCAGGCGGGCUGUUAAGCCGGCGGUAAAAGUUCAGGGCUCAACCCUGUCGAGCCGUCGGAACUGGCCG
rnacentral:rRNA from 1 species